ensembl:misc_RNA 7SK 7SK RNA
AGAAGGCAAUCUGGGUGCAACAUCUGUUACCCAUUGAUCACCAGGAUGAAUUCAGGGAAUCUGGCUGGCUAGGCUAGUGUCCCCAUCUUCCCAUGCCAUGCCAUGGGGGGCCCUCUGAGCUGUAAGCUCAAAGAGGAUGACCUCCAAACAAGAUCUCAAGUUUAUUUACAAUGCCAAAUUUCUAAGUCAUGAGCCCUAUCCAAAUAGGUGCCAGUCUGCCUGCCUUU